rnacentral:misc_RNA from 1 species
GCCAGCGGCGCUGCGAAUAAGCCAAAAGGCCGACCACCGAAGAAAUCAAAAGACACACCUGCAAGCCAAGCCCAUGAUGAGACCCCGAAAAUUACUUCCCCUGAUUCAGGUGAUGAACAUGGCAGCGGAGCAGUGAAAUCCCUCGCUGGUAAAACCAAAGGCCGUCCACUAAAGAAAUCAAAGGAAACACCCGCAAGCACAUCAUUGAGAACUACUGACCUUGAUUCCAGUGACGAACAUGACAGCGGAGUCCCGAAAUCUUCUAUGGGUAAGUCCAAAGGACGACCCCCGAAGAUAUUAAAAGAGGCUCCUUCAAGCAAAUCUGAGUACGAGACUCCAAAAA